rfam:Acyrthosiphon pisum strain LSR1 Contig25251, whole genome shotgun sequence.
CCGUGUUCUGUGACUGACUCGGAUGGCGCCGGACUGGUGGGCGCCCGCCGGUCUGUCACAGAACAAGAGA